AUGAGACCUAAACUAAAAAAACUUGGACACCGUUUCAACUCUAACUCAAGUCUCCAUCAACAACGAAACAAACCACCGUAAACCCUCACGGGAAACCCUCUAUCAACGAAUUGGGCACCACCAUCAAUACCCAAGAAAUUGAAACCCUCCAUCAACAAUUGAGAAUCGCAAAAUUGCCGGCGAUAGAUUCAUAGGCAAUCACUUAAGCAACAGCACGGAGCCGUCGAAUCAGGUUGUAGCAAACCCUUCAAAAACGGUCUUCGGACUUGUCGUGAGCACCCAUGGCUGCUUUCCUAUCUAAUUGCCAAUGAUUAGCUGUUAGUGUGAUUAGUAAUAAGCGCUCAAUUGGUUGAAAUCUUACUAUUGGGAUUCUCAGAAGAGUGCAAUCCCUUACCAUAGUGGCAAAAGUGAAAUAUUCGUUGUUGGCAGCGUAAUCUGGUGGCAUUUAAACUACAUGACAUGUUUAUUACCAUAUAGAUCCUAGGAUUAAAUUUAAAAUUCAUGGCAUGUUUAUUAGAUUAAUGCUUGAAAUCUGAACUUCCAUCUGCCUAUAACUGUUGUUUUCUGAUCUGAUUCAGUUAUGUUUAUGCAGCUGUUGUUGGGUUCUGGGCUUCUGCCUAAGUGGAUGCUGAUGAAUUGAAGGCUAUUAGGGGCAGCUUCAGCUAAAUU